ACGUGCGCGAGUCCGACUUGCAUUUGGCCGGUAUUUUACUAAUUGGAACCAUAAACCACAUGCCGUAAGAACAACAACCUACUUGUUACAUCUAUAUACAAACUGUAACCUAGCAACCGGCAAAAAAAUAAACAGUGUCAAUUUGGCAGAAAGCAUUGUUUUUCUGAUCGUUAAACUUUAGUUAUUACAUUUUUUAUUUUAUUUAGUACACGAUCUAGUGAAUUAAUUUAGUUAACAAUGGAUGUAAAGAAUUUGGAGACAUAUGCCAUAAUCGGGUUUGAUGGUUCCGCGAUCCGCGGCCUGAAAGUACAUCCCGACGGCGACCAUGUGAUAUACCCGAUGGGCAACAAGGUCUGCAUCCAGCACUGGACCAGCAAGCAGAUGUGGUUCCUGAGCGGACACACCAACAGCGUGUCGGCGGUGGGCGUGUCCAGCGGAGGGCGAUACGUUGGCUCGGGUCAGAUCAACCAUGUAGGAUUCAAGGCAGCAGCCAAGCUGUGGGAUUUUAAGAAGAAGAUGUUACUCGGGAGCCAUGAGCUGCAUAAGGUCCGCGUGGAAGCGCUAAUGUUCUCAUCGGACGAGCGCUACAUGAUCUCGCUGGGCGGCCGCGACGACGGCUGCGUGGUGCUGUGGGACUGCGCCGCGGGCGCGGCGACCGGCACGGCGCCCGCGGCGCGGCUGACCACCGGCGACGCGGUCACACUCACCGCGCUCUCCUGCCGGCCUAACUCGUUCAUUACUGGCGGAGACUCGAACCUCCGCGUCUGGAACAUCCGCGCGCAGAGCAAGGCGCUGGACGUGGUGGACGUGGCGCUCGGCAAGCUGCGCAGGAGCGUGCGCUGCAUCGCCGUCAGCCGCGACGACUCGUACGGGAUCGCGGGGACCACGACGGGAGACAUGGUGAAGUUCUCCAUCAACUACCCUUCCGACCCAAACGCAGACGUGGCGGCCUGCAAGCCAGCACUUAUCGGGUGCCUCGCUAAAUGUGGACCUUGGAAGAAAGGGAAGCGACCGGAGUCUCAGUGCUACAGCCAAGGAGUCGAAGCAAUCCUCAUAAUGUCGGACGGCUGCUUAAUUGUCGGUGCUGGAGACGGUACCAUAGAUAUCCUAGACGAGAUCAACUGGAAGGGGGAGUUCCCUAGGGGCAGGCUGCUAGACCCCAACAUGCCGUACUUUAAAGCGCUCCGCUCCGCGAAGCUCCCCGGCUGCAUCACCUCACUCGAGCUCAUGGAGUCCCCCGCCCACCGCGCGGGCGCGCGCAGGCUGCUGGCGGCCACUCGUUCCAGCGAGAUAUACGCGCUCAGUGUGGACACGCUGGCGCCCGUGCUGUGCGUCACGUGUCACCGCUGUGCGAUCAACGACAUCGCCUUCCCAAGGGGCAUGUCAGGUGUGUUCGCGACGGCGGGCUCGGGGGACGUCCGCGUGUGGUGCCUCGAGACCUGUCAGGAGCUGCUCCGGAUCUCAGUGCCUAACUUCACGUGCAGCUCUGUGCUGUUUAGUGGUGACGGCAAAUCCAUUGUCUCUGGUUGGAACGACGGCACGAUCCGCGCCUUCACCCCGCUCACGGGCCGGCUGAUGUACGCCAUAUUCAACACCCACAACAAGGGCACGUCGGCGCUGGCGAUGAACUCUAGCGGCAACACGCUCAUCUCCGGCGGAUGCGAGGGCCAGGUCCGCGUAUGGGACAUAAAGCCAGAGAAGCAGAUGUUGAAGAAAGUGCUCAAAGAACACAAGAGCCCAGUAUCAGCCAUCCAAGUGUCGCCCAACGAUUGCGAGGCCGUCAGCGCUGGCACAGACGGCUCAUGUAUCAUCUGGGACCUGAUGUCGCUAUCUCGUCGCCAAGUGAUGUACGCGAGCACGCUGUUCAUGUGCGUGUGCUUCGAGCCGCUGGGCUGCCAGCUGCUGACGGGCGGCACGGACCGCCGCGUCGCCUACUGGGAGGCGGGCAGCGGUAACCUGGCCAGAGAGUUGGAGGCGAGCAAGGUUGGAGCAGUCAACGGACUCGACAUAUCGGCCGAUGGUCAGCUCUUCGUCACUGGCUGCAACGAUCAGAUCGUCAAGAUCUGGAAAUACCAAGAGGGCAUCUACACACACAUGGGGCUAGGGCAUGCAGGGGCAGUGACUUGUACUAAGUUCUCACCGGACCGACGUUUUGUCGUGAGCGCCUGUGCUGCAGGCAGCAUCAUCGUGUGGAGGACGCCAGAGAUAUAUCUACAACCAGAGAAGCCGUCGCAGCCAUCAUCAGCCAAGCAAACCCAGGACCAAGAGCGUCAGGAAGGCCAAAAGAAGCCCCAGAGCCUCCAAGACGAGCUGAGACUUCCGCUCUCCGAUAAACCGGAGCAGGAGAAGAAGAAAGCGUCAGGGGACCGGCAGCACAGGGUGCCCGCGGCGCCUUCCAAGGUGGAGAAGAUAGAGGCGAUGGACACGACGCGUAGCAGCGUGCACUCGUGCUGUCCGUGCGACACGGUCCGGUCCGGCGCGUCCGGCGGCGCCGGGACCGGACCGAAACGCAGUCCGGCCGACUCCGGCAAGAAGUGCUGCCGCCCCGCAGACAAAACGAAUAACUUACCAACGAAGACGACUAGCAAAGAAUUCGUCAGUAGCGGCGGGGGCGAUAGAAAAUAACGAUUUGCGUGCCUAUUUAUUGCUAAAUAUUUUUGAGUGAACACAUUCACUGUCAGGAACCCGUGUAGUAGGCGCUCGGAACUUUUGCUCAGAUGCCAUAGACAACUCAUUAGAUAGCCAUAGAUAACGACCAUCACGCUACGCCAAGGAGCCCACUUAGCACACAUGACUGUAAAUCGUAUAGUUUGAGAAGUCUUUAGAUAUUAUCUUAUUUUUACGAUAUUUAUGCUUGACAUAGAAAUUGCUUUGUACAUGCGUCGCGUAGUAGCGAGGCUAAGACGCCAAUUCGAACGUACAUUGCGAUCAAAAUGAUGUAAUAUAAAUAUAUAAUAGAUAAUUUCAGUUAUCGUGCGUCUUGUUCGCGUCAAUAUACAUGUAUUAGGGACAAGUACGGACUAAAUGAUAUCAUUCGGAUAUAAUUUUGGUGACAGUGUACGAUCGAGUUGGGCUGUAAGAACCAAAGAAAAUUUGAAAUAGAGGUGGAUUGUGAAAGAAGAUUUUGUAGCCUCUAGAUUUUUUUUUUUGACAAUCUACAUCUAUUUCAAAUUAUUUUUGGUAAGAACUAAGUAAUAAAAUGAAAGUACCUACCUAUAACAGGAUGUUUGAUUUUAAAAUUAAAAGAGCCUUGGCGCCCGCCUAGUGGGCGCUCCGCGUACACUAAUGGCUCCUCUACACGAUGGCCCAGCGUAGGCCAGUCCAAGGGACGCAGCUAUGCGGUGAAAUGAGAUAGCAAUAUCACUUGCUCCCUCUAACGCAUAAAUGCGUCUCUAGGACUGGCCUACGCUGGGCCAUCAUGUAGAGGAGCCAUAACAUUUUGUAUGUUCCGCUGCACUUAGGACAUUCGCGUAUACAACUGUAGAUGUAGAACUAACUUUGAGCCAGAAACCGAGUUCUUUAAUGUCUAGAACUGGUAGCUCUUUAAUCAUUAUUAUAUCAAAUUCAAUUUACCCAUUUUUUAACCAAAAAAAAUUAAUUUUGCUAACAAAACAUAAUAUUAAAAAUAUGUUUGCUCUUAUUUCGUUUUCUGAGGCACGCAGUGCCAGAGCCAAGUUCAGUGACUAAGUUUCCUUUAGAACGCUACGGAAAUGAUAAAUUGUUUAUCUGUUACUCGGGUCCAAUGUUUCGGUGAAAACAUUUGACUUUCGAAUAUUUGGUGCAUGCCUUCACAAAGCAGCAUGUAUGGGAAAACGUGGUUCUAUCUCUCCUAUUUAGAUUGAGAUAUUCUUAAUCGUUCGCAGCGAAUUGAGAAGGCAUGCAAAAUGUUCUACUGUAUCCCUAAACGAAAGAUAUAUAUUUUAAGCAAAAAUAAAGUCUUGUUUGUAAAUGAGUAAUACUCAUCGUUAGGUAUUAGAUAACAUAAAUCGCAUUUUAAAAUAUCUCUUUAGUGAAUAUUCAACUCAACAAGGAUGGCCAUGAUUUUAUUAGGGAACGUCAGACACCGAAGUGUGGCUGGAAGAGGCAAAUGAAUGUUUAUUGAAGUAUUCCAUACUCUAUGAUACGUUCGUCGAUGUGUUAGGUUAAGGAUAGUGUUACUUAAUAUAAUAACUACAUUACAUUAGACGGUAAAUUAUUUAUUUCAAGCAUAGCUUCAGCUCAGAAUCUCGUGCUUGGAAAUUGUUGCCAAAGAUAUUUUAUAAAAUUUAAAGCGUCUUUAGGUUUUUAAAUUGCAUAUUAUACUGUGGGUGCUGCAAGAAUUGAAUUGAGAGUGAUGCAGGAAGUUUUUACUGUUAUAUUUUACUAAUAUUUUCUCUAAUUUAUCGUUAGCCGCUUGACGUGGGCAACCGUGCCGUGCCAAAACUGCGACCGCGGGGAAGCCAGGCCACCUCUUACUUAAGCUUCCAUAUUAAAUUGUAAAAAUAUCUUAAACUGUAUUAAAUAAACAUAUCUUCUAAGUUUCUUUGGCUAUUUAGGAAAAUAGCAAAACAGUUGAUGAAAAUGAAUCAUAAAUAUUCGCUAAUAGCGUCGCGUAUAAUCAUAAAUUUUCGGUAAAAGUUAAAACAUUCCGCAGUGGCUUCGUAUUGUAUGAUUAUACCGUCAAUGGAAUAAAUUAUAUGUGAAACGCAUAAAUUAAUGUUUAGUAUUAUAAACAAUGUAUCAUUGUGUACAAUAAAUGUUGUGUUAACCAUUGAAAAAAUAUCUGUUCAUACAUAUAUAUGUAUUUAUAUAUCCUAAAACUAACAUUCGGACUCCUUUAACUACAUGCCCUACCAACGCCCCCUCUAUUCACUGUGAUAAAAUAAUUAACAUAACAUAUAUUAUAAAAUUUAUAACAUUACCGUUUAUCAAAAAUAUUUAAGUUUCUACAAUUCUAAAAAAGUUAUUAUUUUGUACAUGUGUAUCACAGUGAAUAAUUUUCAUAUUCAAACUUGGAAUAUAAUUAUUGAUUAAUCGCUAAUAACACUCCAUCAAAACCAUUGUAAAUAUCAUUUAUGGCCUGAUUUCUUUUUUUAAAUAUGUUUAAACCAUUUUCUCACGCGACAAAGGCCCUAGAUCUAAAUUUUAAAUAUUACUGUUCAAAUUAUUGUUUUUAAUAUUUAUCAUUAUAUUGACAUGUUUUAUAUUGAUAUAUUUUAAUUUAAUUACGACUGUGCUGUUUUAUAUCUCAUAUAUUUUAUACCAAUGUCUCUAAAUAAAAUGUGGACGGAAA